rnacentral:rRNA from 1 species
GACGGAGGGGGCAAGCGUUGUCCGGAUUCAUUGGGCGUAAAGCGCGUGUAGGCGGCCAGGUAGGUCUGGUGUGAAAACUCGAGGCUCAACCUCGAGAGGUCAUCGGAAACCAUCUGGCUAGAGUCCGGAAGAGGAGAGUGGAAUUCCCGGUGUAGCGGUGAAAUGCGCAGAUAUCGGGAAGAACACCUAUGGCGAAGGCAGCUCUCUGGGACGGUACUGACGCUGAGACGCGAAAGCGUGGGGAGCGAACAGG